rnacentral:rRNA from 1 species
UACGAAGGGGGCAAGCGUUGUUCGGAAUUACUGGGCGUAAAGGGCGCGUAGGCGGCUUAUCAAGUCAGGCGUGAAAUUCCCGGGCUCAACCUGGGGGCUGCGCUUGAUACUGAUUGGCUUGAAUGCGGGAGAGGAUAGUGGAAUUCCCAGUGUAGAGGUGAAAUUCGUAGAUAUCGGGAGGAAUACCAGUGGCGAAGGCGCUGACCUGGACGAAGAUUGACGCUGAGGUGCGAAAGCGCGGGGAGCAAACAGG